rnacentral:lncRNA from 1 species
UGCAUGGGGGUCCCCAUGCAGCAACAAGGGAAAGGAUUCACCUACCCAGGGUUGGGUCGUAGUCUCCAAUGAAUCUCCUGGUGAUGAACCUGACGGUCAGCGCUGUCUUGCCCACUGCGCUCUGCCCCAGCACAACGAGGCGCAGGGUCCGGCCCGGGCUGAGGCUCACGGAGCGGCGGAGGGGCCGUGGGAAGCUCAUCCCGGGGCUCCGGUGCUCCGACGGGCGCUGCUCCGACGGCUCCGCCCCGAGGGCCGGGCUCGGCCUUGGGGCGGUGCGGGCGGUCCCGGCCCGUGCUCGGCUCCUCCUCCUCCUCCUCCUCCUCCUCCUCCUCCUCCUCCUCCUCCUCCUCCUCCUCCUCCUCCUCCUCCUCCUCCCCCUCCUCCCCCCCCCCCCCCCCCCCUUCUCCUUCUCCUUCUCCUUCUCCUUCUCCUUCUCCUUCUCCUUCUCCUUCUCCUUCUCCUUCUCCUUCUCCUUCUCCUUCUCCUUCUCCUUCUCCUUCUCCUUCUCCUUCUCCUUCUCCUUCUCCUUCUCCUUCUCCUUCUCCUUCUCCUUCUCCUUCUCCUUCUCCUUCUCCUUCUCCUUCUCCUUCUCCUUCUCCUUCUCCUUCUCCUUCUCCUUCUCCUUCUCCUUCUCCUUCUCCUUCUCCUCCUCCUUCUCCUCCUUCUCCUUCUCCUUCUCCUCCUCCUCCUCCUCCUCCUCCUUCUCCUCCUUCUCCUUCUCCUUCUCCUUCUCCUUCUCCUCCUUCUCCUUCUCCUCCUUCUCCUUCUCCUUCUCCUUCUCCUUCUCCUUCUCCUUCUCCUUCUCCUUCUCCUUCUCCUCCUUCUCCUUCUCCUUCUCCUCCUUCUCCUUCUCCUUCUCCUCCUUCUCCUUCUCCUUCUCCCCUUCUCCUUCUCCUCCUCCUCCUCCUCCUCCUCCUCCUCCUCCCUCCGUGCCUCAGUUUCCCCGCACACAAACAUCGCCGGUGGCAGCCCCAAGAGCGAGGGGAGAGGGGAACGGUCCCAAACCCACGGGGGGAGCAGGGUCCGGGGCUGCCUCCCCCCCCCCGGCACCGGAUCAAGGUUUGUGUUCGGCUGCUCCUGC